AAUCGGAGCUGUAGCCACCGGCCUACGCCAGAGCCACAGCAACGCGGGAUCCGAGCCGCGUCUGCAACCUACACCACAGCUCACGGCAACGCCAGAUCGUUAACCCACUGAGCAAGGGCAGGGACCGAACCCACAACCUCAUGGUUCCUAGUCGGAUUCGUUAACCACUGCGCCACGAUGGGAACUCCAAGGGACCAAAUGUUUGACUGCUAAAUUGAUAUCGAGAGGUUAGAGACUUGUCCCUUUGCAGGAAUAGCUAAAUUUGAUAAGUGGGAGAGAAUGAUGUUCAAUUCAAAGGAAGGGAAAAGGCCCAAUGAGGGAAAAGGUGAGUCUACAACCAGUGGAAAUGUUCAGAUAUGUGUACAUCCCUUUACUUUCUGUUCUCAUAGUAUCUUGUACAUAGUGACUUUAAGGCAAAGCACUUAAUCACCUUGUGUCCCAGUUUCCUCACCUGUUAAACAGGGACAAGACUCUCAUAGAGUUGUCAUGACAAUGCAAUGCCUCAAUCACAUAGAGCAUAUAGAAUGGUACCCGGCAUAGGGUAAGUACCAUCUAUGUUAGCUCCUGUUCUCAUUAUUCUUAGGAUGGACAUUACCAUCCAGAUUGUAUACUUCUGGGCAGUAGAUGACAUGACUCACUUUUCCUUACGGCAAUCAGCCCAAUGCCCAGCUCCAGAAGUAUUUAUUGAAUGGCCCUUGGCAGGGGUGCUGUAAAGAGAUUCACGUAUGUAUGUUUUAUACCAUGGUAUUGUGAAUGGACCUCUAAUAGUGGAAUUUCAAGCUCCAAAGUAGCAAAUUGUGGGAGAGAUUCUUGGGCAAGUCAUCCAUCCUUAUGGGAAUAGUUUCUAUUAAAAGCUGAGAAAUAAACAAGUCAGUUGGGACAGCCAUUCAAGAACAGCUCUCAGCCUGAGAUGGAAUCCCCACUUCACUCCACCAGAAACCUCCAUGACUUUGGUUUAAUGUGUUUCUUCAUUCCUCCAGCUCACAGAGGGGAGACCCACCAGGAAUUCUUCCUGCCUUGAGAACUGUCACACUCAUGAGAAUUUUCUGAUGCUUGUCUUGCAGCAUCCUAAAAUCAGCUCCUCAGAGGCCCCUACAAAACAGGCUUGUUUUUCAGUCCCCAGCUGCCAUCAAACCAGUAGAGAGUUGUGAGCUGUCAGCCUAGGUGUUUCUGUUUUCAGAGGGAAAGAACCUCGAACAAAGAUACUGUAAAAGAAAAUCCGUUGGAAGGCAAAUGAGGGGAGGGAGGCAGAUCUGAUGGAGAAGGAGAUCCCCCACCAAAGAAAGCAAUUUCCUGUGCUGAUUUUCUCUUGCAUGUGGACUACUAGUCCAUACAGUGUUAACAGUUCCUUCUAUUAUCUUCUCAUUCUGACAUAUGCUUGGGAGAUCAGAAAUAUCAUCAGGUAAUUCAGCUGGGUAAGCAAAUUGCCUCUUCUCCCUGCCUAGCUGUUAGGUGGGCACUUCUAGCAUUGCACAGGCUUAGAUGGGAUUUCCUAGAGGCCAUCUAAAUGAGGAUGGAGAAAUGAAAGCUCAGAGGACUAGGAGAGGGUAUAGCAUCUCCCUGAAGACAUCAGAAGACUUGGGCAUGGUCUUCCCUGCAGAGACAAGCACUUUGGCUGACACCUCCUUGUUCAAUACCUCCAUAAAAUGAGGGAAAAUUGACUUCAGACAUGUGGUAGGUUGGAGGCAAGAGGACCUAGUUCUUUGCACAAAUAUUCCUAAAAAUAUCGACCCAUGUUUAUCUUAAAAUCAGGAGAGGUGUGGGAACUCAGAGCAAACGUUUCACUAAAUUCUACACAUCUGGUUACCUCAUUCCUCAUUCAUUCAACAACCAUUAGUUGAAUACUCUUUAUGCCAUGCACAGUGAGGCAGCAAUUAUAAGAGUUCAGUGAGGGAUGAGGCCUCAUUGGAACACUGGGGAUGAAUAGGAUGGUGUGGGUUUAAGAGGGAUUUGGAUAUAAAAUCAAUAGGAUUUUGUUGACUGAUGGGACGUGUAAAGGCAGUGCAGAGAGGCUAAGCAGCAGAAAUAAGAGAGGCAAAGAUGUAGAAGCUAGGAUGAGCCCCAUGCGUAACCGGGUGUGGUGUGGCAGCAUUCACAGAGGAACAGAGCCCAGAUGGAGGGCGCUCAGAGGAUGAUGGUAGCGUGGAGCUCAAAGAGUCAAUGCCCGGGACUCCUGAUGCUCAUCUGAAUCCUAGUUGUAAUUUUAUCAACCGUCACUUCUGCAGCCCUUUGCACCUGCUAAAUCUAAUUUGACUCAAACAUGGGCAGAAAUGGCCUUCCAAAGCAUAACUUGGGUUUCCCUACUAGAAAAACAAUGUAAAAUGUAAAAUAAUUCUAUUUAAGGAAGGAAGAGAAGAGACACUCUUGCUAGCAGUCAGGUGUGCUGUUGCUUACUUCCCUAUUUAAUCCUCACCCACCUGGAAGGAACUCUCACCCCUACUUUACAGAUAAGGCUCAGAAAUUAAAGUAACUUGUAAAAAAGGUUAAAUGAGGAAUGGUAGGUGCAGGGCCCAGACCAAGCUCAUGUCUCCUGAUUCCUCCAAAGACAGUAUUCUUUCUUAUUACCCAUGCGGCUACUCUGAGAAAGAAAAGAGCAUAGGAGCUCAAUGUUUUUACGGGCUGAACACUGAGCUCACUACUCAUGACUUCAGUACAACCCCCAGAUGCAUAAACUCCUUGAGCAAACCUAGGCAUUGGUUAGUAGAGGGUUGGUGAAACAAUAAAUACUGUAUUCUCCAGGACCAUUCAACAGGCUUCCAAUCCCUGAGACCCUCUCUUGGUCUCCUUACAUCCUGCUUUAUCCCUGAGCAGCUGGCAACCUUUAAGACCC
ensembl:lncRNA